GGGGGUGUGGUUUAGUGGUAUAACAUUCCGUUUGCACGUGAUCUCCAUGCUUCGGAAAGGUCCGGGGUUCGAUUCCCCGCGUCUCCA